UACGGGGGGAGCAAGCGUUGUUCGGAUUUACUGGGCGUAAAGGGCGCGUAGGCGGUCAGCACAAGUCAGUUGUGAAAUCUCCGGGCUUAACUCGGAAAGGUCAACUGAUACUGUGCGACUAGAGUGCAGAAGGGGCAACUGGAAUUCUCGGUGUAGCGGUGAAAUGCGUAGAUAUCAGGAGGAACACCGGUGGCGAAGGCGGGUCUCUGGGCCGUAACUGACGCUGAGGAGCGAAAGCUAGGGGAGCGAACGGG
rnacentral:rRNA from 1 species